GGCAAUGCCUCCCAGGCUUGGGAGCUGGGAAAAGGCCCCAGGAGCUAGGGCAUCCUGAUUGUUCUUUCAAAGAAAUCCCUCUUGUUCUUAGUCAACAUGCUGGAUACCAGCUAAAAAAUGCAAAAUGAUCUUCAGGCAGGGAUGGCACAGGACCCUUGCUGAGCUGUGAAGCCUGGCUGUGAGGAUUCCUGCAUGGAAACAUCAACAUGUUGCCAGAUUGGUAUACGACUCAACACCACACUGACAUGCUGCUCCCAAACAGUGCCUUUGAAUCAAGACCCAGUCAUCGUAUUCGAAGAAAAAGGAAAUAUCCCUGACCAUGUUGGGACUUAACACUGCUUCACAGAGAUUGCAAAGAACCGCUUCUCUGGAGCUUGCAGGACGACUCUCAUGUUGUUAAAAGCUUCCCUUCCUUAUCUCACUUCCUAAUCGCCAAAGAGGGAUUUGAGAGCCUUCGACACUGGUUUUUCCUCUUCAAGGAUCUGCUAGUGCUGGACUAAUUAAUGGAAAGGGCCCGGAGAUGAGUUCCUUCAAAAAUUAUGGAAUGUUCUAAUCAGACGGCUAAAACAUCCUUGGGCAUUACAUAUGAAACCAACAUACAAAGACUGUAAAAGUUGAAGAGAAGAAGGCAGAUAAGCUAGAGACUUUAGGACCCACAGAACAACGUGGUGGCAAGUUCCCUGGGCUUUCUUUUUGCCUCAUAUACCCCAGACCUGAAGCUGAAGAAGACAGCACCCUGGAAUGGUCACUGGAUAUAGAUGAAAACGACAAUAAUAACAAGUUGCUGUUUCUAGCCAAAGUGAUGGCAGCACAUGAUGGAUGCAGCAGGGAGGCUCGGCUGGGGCUGCACACUCCAUGGAGCCAGUAGAAGCCCCAUCCCUUCUGAGUUGGGGCAGGAGCUCCUAGGGUACUGCUGCAGCUGCCCAAACCACAGGCUGCAGACCCAAACUGCAGCUGUAGCCACCCAAACUGUGGCUGUGAAUCCGAGCUUCUCUGUGCUCUUGGGGGGAACCGGUAGUGGGCGGGAUCUGCCCUCCUGGGUGCCCAACCCACGGCUGCAGACCUGGGCCUCCCAUUCCACAGAGUAUACAGGAGCUGGGGACAAGUGGAAGCCCUGCCCCUUCCGAGUUUGCAGAGCAGAAGCUCCCCGAGUGCUGCUGCAGCAGCCCUCCCAGGAGCAAGGCCUGGGCAUCUCUGCAGCCUGUGUCCUCAGGGCCCAGGAAGGGUUUCCCAAUCCCUGUAGGCUCAGAGGUGUCUGCUCCUGUUGUCUGGCCUCUCUCCUUUCCCUGUGCCAGCUCCAGUCUUGGAGCAGGGUUGGCAAUGUGCGCCAGGGGCCAUGAAUGGCAGCAGGAGUCAGCUAGAUCCCUGGGUGGAAAACAAUAGUCCAGGGUAAGGCCUCACCUUCAGGCCAGGGAGAGGCUGAAGGCUGGGGGCUUGACUGCCAGUCCACAGACCAGAAUAGGGAGUUGUAGUGCCUCCUGCUGCCUGCCCGUUGUCACCUGUGGAUCAAUCUGUAUGCACUUCCUCCCCUCUGAGGUCCAUAAAAGCCCCAGGUUCAGCCAGAGCAGGGCAGAGGACAGAGGACAGAGAGAUGACAGGAUGACCAGCCUGCAGAGAGGAGCUACCCUCUCCAGGGCCUCCUCUCUGCUGAGAGCUGAACACUUGACAGGACGACCUGCCUACAGAGAGGAGCUACCCACUGCAGGUCUCCUCUGAGCUGUUCUAACACUAAAUAAAGCUCCUCUUCAUCUUCUUCACCCUUCA
ensembl:lncRNA novel transcript